UACAGAGGUCCCAAGCGUUGUUCGGAUUCACUGGGCGUAAAGGGUGCGUAGGCGGUCGGGUAAGUCUGAUGUGAAAUCUCACAGCUUAACUGUGAAACUGCAUUGGAUACUAUUCGGCUUGAGAGUUGGGAGGGGGACUGGAAUUCUUGGUGUAGCAGUGAAAUGCGUAGAUAUCAAGAGGAACACCAGUGGCGAAGGCGAGUCCCUGGACAACUUCUGACGCUGAGGCACGAAAGCUAGGGGAGCAAACAGG
rnacentral:rRNA from 1 species